rnacentral:rRNA from 1 species
GACGAACGCUGGCGGCGUGCUUAACACAUGCAAGUCGAACGGAAAGGCCCUGCUUUUGUGGGGUGCUCGAGUGGCGAACGGGUGAGUAACACGUGAGUAACCUGCCCUUGACUUUGGGAUAACUUCAGGAAACUGGGGCUAAUACCGGAUAGGAGCUCCUGCUGCAUGGUGGGGGUUGGAAAGUUUCGGCGGUUGGGGAUGGACUCGCGGCUUAUCAGCUUGUUGGUGGGGUAGUGGCUUACCAAGGCUUUGACGGGUAGCCGGCCUGAGAGGGUGACCGGCCACAUUGGGACGGGGAUACGGCCCAGACUCCUACGGGAGGCAGCAGUGGGGAAUAUUGCACAAGGGGCGGAGGCCGGAUGCAGCAACGCCGCGGGCGGGAGGACGGCCUUCGGGUUGUAAACCGCUUUCGCCUGUGACGAAGCGUGGGUGACGGUAAUGGGUAAAGAGGCACCGGCUAACUACGU